CAAGUCGAGCGAGGCGGGUAGCAAUACCCAGUCGAGCGGCGAACGGGUGAGUAACGCGUGGAUACCUGCCCUUCAGCGGGGAAUAACCCGGGGAAACUCGGGCUAAUACCGCAUACGACCGAGAGGUGAAAGGGGCCCGCAAGGGUCUCACUGAAGGAGGGGUCCGCGUCCGAUUAGCUAGUUGGUAGGGUAAAGGCCUACCAAGGCGACGAUCGGUAGCCGGCCUGAGAGGGUGAUCGGCCACACUGGAACUGAGACACGGUCCAGACUCCUACGGGAGGCAGCAGUGGGGAAUUUUGCGCAAUGGGCGAAGGCCUGACGCAGCAACGCCGCGUGGAGGAUGAAGGUCUUUGGAUUGUAAACUCCUGUCAGCAGGGAAAAAGGGAAGUGACCUCAUACGUCACUGACUUGAUUGUACCUGCAGAGGAAGCCCCGGCUAACUCUGUGCCAGCAGCCGCGGUAAUACAGAGGGGGCAAGCGUUAUUCGGAAUUAUUGGGCGUAAAGGGCGCGUAGGCGGCCAUUCAAGUGACGGGUGAAAGCCCUCGGCUUAACCGAGGAACUGCCUGUCAGACUGGAUGGCUCGAGACCGGGAGAGGUGAGUGGAAUUCCCAGUGUAGCGGUGAAAUGCGUAGAUAUUGGGAGGAACACCAGUGGCGAAGGCGGCUCACUGGACCGGAACUGACGCUGAUGCGCGAAAGCGUGGGGAGCAAACAGGAUUAGAUACCCUGGUAGUCCACGCCGUAAACGAUGAGUGCUUGGUGUAGCGGGUAUCGACCCCUGCUGUGCCGAAGUCAACACAUUAAGCACUCCGCCUGGGGAGUACGGUCGCAAGACUGAAACUCAAAGGAAUUGACGGGGGCCCGCACAAGCGGUGGA
rnacentral:rRNA from 1 species